rnacentral:rRNA from 1 species
AUGGACUAUGGUGGUGGCGGCAGCGCCCGACCGGUCAGCAGUGGGAUGGCGUACGUGGCCCACGCCUUCUUCAUCACCGACGAGGACGACCUGGUGGGCGGCGCUGGUCAAGGAGAUCGCGUUUGCCGCCGCGCUCCUCGCACUUGGCGUCAUCGCAGGCCUCAUCAUGGCCGCCCACCGCGUCUGUGGCGACCACUCCCAUGCAUCAAGGGGAUCUUCGACCGCUACCAGCAGGCCACCGGGACCAGCCUGUGGACCGAGCAGUAUGAGAAUGAGGCUGCUCUGGAGGAAGCAGAGGACUCUGGGGAGAAGGCUUCCAUCAAGGAAGCAGACAAGUACUGCAAGGCCAUCAUCGGGAGGCUGUUGCGCGGCGCCACCUGCCUGAAGGGCGGCCUGCUGGUCAUCACCCUUGCAGGCGGGGCUGGCUUCAUGCUCUCCCCCAACCUGGACCUCACCGCCGACCUAGAGAAGCUCCAGGCGAUGUCAUUAUUCUUGUUUGAAGCUAAGCUAGGCUACUAUAGUUCCAGCAAAAAGGGCGCCGGGGAGAUGACGCCGUGUAGCCUGAUCUACAGCUCGGAGACGAUGCGUACCCCUGGCUGGGCGACCGGAGCCAGGAACCAUUCCCGACGCAGCUCUCUCGAGAUGAACAAGUUCUUCGCCGCCGCCGCCGAGCAGCAGCAACACCAGAGCUUCAGGGAGAAGUAA